rnacentral:rRNA from 1 species
GACGAACGCUGGCGGCGUGCUUAACACAUGCAAGUCGAACGGAAAGGCCCUGCUUUUGUGGGGUGCUCGAGUGGCGAACGGGUGAGUAACACGUGUGUAACCUGCCCUUCACUUUGGGAUAACUUCAGGAAGCGGGGGCUAAUACCGUAUAGGAGCUCCUGCUCCAUUGUGGGGGUUGGAAAGUUUCGGCUGUUGUGGAUGGACUCGCGGUUUAUCAGCUUGUUGGUUGGGUAGUGGCUUACCAAGGCUUUGACGGGUCGUCGGCAUGUGAGGGUGACCGGCCACAUUGGGACUGCGAUACGGACCAGUGUCCAACGGGAGGCAGCAGUGGGGAAUAUUGCACAAUGGGCGGAAGCCUGAUGCAGCAACGCCGCGUUCGGGAUGACGGCCUUCGGGUUGUAAACCGCUUUCGCCUGUGACGAAGCGUGAGUGACGGUAAUGGAUAAAGAAGCACCGGCUAACUACGUG